rnacentral:rRNA from 1 species
CUAUGGAGAGUUUGAUCCUGGCUCAGGACGAACGCUGGCGGCGUGCGUAAUACAUGCAAGUCGAGCGGUCGANGGCUCUCAGCGGNGGAGGGGUGAGGAACACGUGAGUAACACGUGAGUAACCGGGCGUCGGGUWGGGGAUAAUGGGCCGAAAGGCGCGGUAAUCCCGAAUGGCCCC